rnacentral:lncRNA from 1 species
CCAGAUGAGAGAAAAGGUGCUUUAACUUUGAUUGCUGCAGAUUUUCUUGGCGUUUAAGUGCUGAUGAAGCAGGUCAGUCAAAACUGAAGAUCAGCUUUUGAUCAUGAGGAGAUUAGGUCACAGAUGUUCAAUAAGGAAAGACCAUGUGAAGACACAAGAAGAUGGUCAUCUGCAAGCCAAGAGAAAUGUCUCAAAAGGAACUGGCCCUGCUGACAUCUUGACCUUGAAUUUCCAGCCUCAGGUUCUUGGAUGCUUGAUGGAAUUAAGGAUUUGAGAACAUGAGAACAAACAGGAAUAUGCAGGAAAUCUUGAGGACACAGGAGAUGAAGUCAACCUGUGGCCAAGGGAGAGGGAGGGACAUGAGAAGCUUUGUGAAAGAUGUCAGCGCAAACCUCAGGCAAGUGCCACCCAACCUAGAGCUGUGGAUUGAAGUUUGGCGUUGGGGUGUCAGCCUGUGAUUUCCUGAUCUCCAACUCCACUCCUCUUAAGUCACCCAGCCUAAGGCACUGAACCUCAUCAUCAGAACCUCAGAGUCCAACAUCUUGACCAUAGCCUUGCAACCCCACUGUUAGGUGAGUUUCAAGUUCUCACUCCCCAUAAACUUCUUCAGACCACUGCUCCCUCGAAUGACUUUGUUUCCUCCCAGGUCAUCAGUUUCCUUAGUCAAUUUCCAAGUCCUAUCAGUUGUAGACACUACGAUUGGUCAUCCCAUCUGAGUGACUAUUUCACUUAAACUUGCCUUUCCUCCUCUGUUUGCAAUAACUCUCAUACAUAGCUCUAGCUUAACAUCCACGUUGCCUUCUCUAUUCUUACCUCC